AUGGCUUCCGGUAAGACGAUUAGGGUUCCAGCGUGCUGGACUGCCAUCUCUGUCAAAAAAGGUUCCUCAAAGAUAGUGGUUGUGGGUGGAAGACGAUGACACAAGCCUUGGUAAUUUCAGAUCUCUAUUGACCCUCACCCUAAGUACUUUGCGUUUUAGUUGAUUUAUAUUUUGAUUAUUUGAUGAUUAUUGUUAACAUAUUACGAAUUUUAGUUGAUUUAUUUAUGUUUUUUUGGAAGAAUCAAAUCCAUGUUUACUCGACCUCCAUAUUUUGAGGGUAAAAGUGAAGAUGACUUCUUUGACAGGACUUA
rnacentral:lncRNA from 1 species